GUGUGAGUGUGUGUGUCUGUGUGUGUCUGUGUGUGUGUGCGAGUGUGUGUGUGUGUGUGUGUGAGUGUGUGUGAUCACCGUGGUGUGUGACCAGUACGAGUAGUCGAAGGUGAAGUUCUUGGCUCCAUCUUUGGGCUGUUUGGGGUUGGAGAUGCCUGGAAGGAAAGAGGAGGCGGAUCAAACACCAACAAGUAUGGCUUUCAUUGUGUGCUGAACUGCUCCUUUAAAUACUGGAGGUGUGUGUGUGUGUGUGUGUGUGUGUGUCUUACAGGUGGUGUUUCCCUGCAUCUGGAUCACACACUUGGCGUUGUGUCCCGUCUCUCGGGUGUUGAACGGGCGCACUCGCACCGCCACCUUCACCGACGCGCCCGCCAUGGCUCAGCUCCGCCCACCCCACCUGAGGGCAGCCAAUCAGAGAGCAGAGAGAGGAAACCAUCAGAAUGAGCUGAAAGGGGUUGACGUAGAAGCAGUAGACACACAGUCGGCACAGCCAAUCAGGGAAGUCCCACACACCACCCCUAAAGUAAUAAGCCAAUCGCAGAGGGAGGGUGAGGGAGAAGCUGCCAUCUGAUAGGGCGAGAUUCAUCAUGAUGAUGCAGGAGGCGGAGCGUCUGACGGGAAACAUGAAGACAGAAGGUUUGCUGCUGUUCCUCUGAUCUGAAUCCUCUGAAUGUGUUUGUGAUCAUGUUGAGCUUUGGACUGUUGGUUGGACUGAACAAACUGUGUGUCACAUUUUCAUGAUUUUCACAAGUUUGACAAGCCCAACAAUCAACGGAUCAAGUAAUGUUUUCCUACACUGCACAGCUGACAGUGAAUGCUGCUGAAGAGACGGGAUUCAACUGUAAACACAGGCUCCAUCACUUCCUGUCUUGUCAUUGAAUUCAAGCUGCUGGCUCCAGCUCGUUCGCCAUGUGGCUCCACACCCUCUUUGUCAUUUCAUCAGUUAUCAGUACUUCACACACACACAGUAACAGUGUGUUUUGAGUCCGAUCCCAGUUUUGAUCAUCUCAUCCGAUGAUGUUUGCAUAGAAGUGCAGUAAACUGGUUAUUUAUGUCCCUGUGCCUGAUUUGUAUGCAGCUUGAUAUGCAAAUGACCCGCAGGCUCACAAAACAAGCAACAGCUUCAAAUAAUAACAUGACAGUGAGGUUCAACCACUGUGAGCUGUUUGAAAUGUACAGAUGUGCCCUUUAAUGUGGAAUAUCGACUGAUCCACAGGCUGACCUGACAUGUCACCUCAGUGCUGAUUAAAUAUGUUUCAGACAAAUAUCAGCUCAUCUUUCUUUUCUUCUUGUCUCGAUCUUUAAAAACUCACACUACUGAUUGAUUCGAAUCAGAGUUUAAGUGCAGAAGUGUCAGGUGGUGCCACACUGAACAUCUCAAAGACAAAACAGUGGCUGACUGACCCCUCGCUAAGCCCCGCCCCUUUUCUGUUCUUCUGGCAGUGUUUUACAGCAGAACCUGUUUCAGCUUACACUACAUGGCCAAAGGUGUGUGGACACUCUCUCCAUUUGUAGUAUGAACCGCAUGCUUACUGCUGCGUGGCAACAGUCAUGGGAGUCCCUUUCCUGUUUCAUGUCCUGUUAGACAGCGUCAUGAAGAAAUGGUUCUCCCAGUCUGGUGGAGAAGAGCUUGACUGGUCUCAACUCCAUCCAACACCUUUCAGUUCACCUGGAACAUUGACUGUGUCACACCCAAUCACCCAAUCAGUGUAGACCUCACUCAUGUGUCUGAAUGUGGACAAAAUCCCAGAAUCUGCUGGAAAGCCUCAUAUGAGUGCAGUGUUAGGGUGUCCACAUACUUUUGUUCAUGUAGUGUACAUCAGAUGAGUUAAUCUGAGACCUUAACAAAGAGACAAAGUUAUGUUUGUGUGUUCAGACCUGCGGCUGCUCUGCAGGAGAAACACCAGCAGGGCUCCGAUGUUGCAGAGAAACGCCACGGGAAACACCAGAAGAAGAGGAGGGAAAGUUUCCUUUGUGAGUGAUGGUGUAGUCGUUUCCCCCUGUUGUCCAAGUGGAUGUGCCCUGAGAAGAACAGCUUUAAGUCACAAUCGACGUCUCUUUGACAGCUGCUCUGUGGGCUUCGGGGGAACUUCUCACUGGAAUACCACGAAGCUGAGCAGCUCCAUCAUGUCAGGUCCAGUUAAAGCAGUCAGGGCCGCAGGAAAUGACUCCACCUCCGCCAUUGUGGAGGAUCUUCCAGUCCCUUAAACGCACCGAGACGAGAGGAGCUUCGAGUGAGGGAACACUGAAGUGUCCUUCCUCACAUCCUCGCUGGGAGGAGACCUGAGGAGGCAUGUUGGCCUAGUGAAAAGCUCUCCACGUCUCUGUCGAAGACCAGUUUGGAGCUUCAGUUAAACUGCAUAAUGAGCUGCGACAGCUUUGGACACUUUGCUCGCUCAGAAAUUAGUCCGCUUGCUAUUGGUCGACACUGCGGAUCCAAACGUGAGCUCCUGUUGUGUGUUGGAUGGCGAUGAUGUGAAGAUGUUGAAGAGAUCUCCGCUGACGCCGUCUUGCUUGUAUAAAAAGUUUAUUACAAGAAGCUCAGCAUCAAAUUCAGCACCUGCACGUGAGAGGAUCCCAGCCAAUAUGGAUCACUCAUCUCUAUCUGUCUGCUUAUACAGUUUAGUUUACAUGAAACGAGGAGUAAACAUCUGGAAAUUAACCAAUGACCUUUCCAAGACACCGAGAGAGGGGGGAGAAAGACCAUCUUCCUAUGUGCCAUAUGCCUUUGGGGCUGGGGUCCUAAUCACUGAGGGGCCCCAGGAAACCAUCAUUCCUACUAAUCUCCAGAUCUCAGGAAGACAUCAGUGAUACUAAUCUCCAGAUCUCAGGAAGACAUCAGUGAUACUAAUCUCCAGAUCCUACACUCCGAUGUGCCUUUGACACAUUUGGCCUCACAAGCAACCAAACUUUUGGCCACAAACCUGCACAGUCUCACAGGCUGAUGUGACUGUCCGUCCUCUCCUUGUGUCUCUCGGUGGUCCAGUCUUUGUCCGAGUCCACCAGCUGCUGGCUCUUCCAGUGGACCAGACAGACAUGAGAGUCCAACCAAUCCAAACAUCCAACUCUUGGAAGGGCAGAGAAACACGAGCAACGAAAAUGUUGUUUUCUAG